AGUGAACGCUGGCGGUAGGCCUAACACAUGCAAGUCGAACGGCAGCACAGUAAGAGCUUGCUCUUACGGGUGGCGAGUGGCGGACGAGUGAGGAAUACAUCGGAAUCUACUUUUUCGUGGGGGAUAACGUAGGGAAACUUACGCUAAUACCGCAUACGACCUACGGGUGAAAGCAGGGGAUCUUCGGACCUUGCGCGAUUGAAUGAGCCGAUGUCGGAUUAGCUAGUUGGCGGGGUAAAGGCCCACCAAGGCGACGAUCCGUAGCUGGUCUGAGAGGAUGAUCAGCCACACGGGAACUGAGACACGGUCCAGACUCCUACGGGAGGCAGCAGUGGGGAAUAUUGGACAAUGGGCGCAAGCCUGAUCCAGCCAUACCGCGUGGGUGAAGAAGGCCUUCGGGUUGUAAAGCCCUUUUGUUGGGAAAGAAAAGCAGCAGGUUAAUACCCCGCUGUUCUGACGGUACCCAAAGAAUAAGCACCGGCUAACUUCGUG
rnacentral:rRNA from 1 species